GAGUUUGAUCCUGGCUCAGGACGAACGCUGGCGGCGUGCCUAAUACAUGCAAGUCGAGCGAGCUUGCCUAGAUGAUUUUAGUGCUUGCACUAAAUGAAACUAGAUACAAGCGAGCGGCGGACGGGUGAGUAACACGUGGGUAACCUGCCCAAGAGACUGGGAUAACACCUGGAAACAGAUGCUAAUACCGGAUAACAACACUAGACGCAUGUCUAGAGUUUGAAAGAUGGUUCUGCUAUCACUCUUGGAUGGACCUGCGGUGCAUUAGCUAGUUGGUAAGGUAACGGCUUACCAAGGCAAUGAUGCAUAGCCGAGUUGAGAGACUGAUCGGCCACAUUGGACUGAGACACGGCCCAAACUCCUACGGGAGGCAGCAGUAGGGAAUCUUCCACAAUGGACGAAAGUCUGAUGGAGCAACACCGCGUGAGUGAAGAAGGGUUUCGGCUCGUAAAGCUCUGUUGUUAGAGAAGAACGUGCGUGAGAGUAACUGUUCACGCAGUGACGGUAUCUA
rnacentral:rRNA from 1 species